rnacentral:rRNA from 1 species
UAAUUUUGGAAAAUGGAAUUACCCGCGGCUGCUGGCACCAGACUUGCUCUCCAAUGGUUUAUCGAUAAGAGUCCCUUUAAAAUCUCAAUCCAAUUGCAAAAAAGAGAGNCGCANAGCCUUUUAUAGUGACUACACCUCCGUGUGACGAGAGUGGAAAAUUUACGCCCGCGGUGUCUUCCGUAUAUGGGAUACAUAUCUCACACGCUCUCUCUCAAAAAUAAAACCAAAAUUCUUCUACACCCUAUAGUGACGUGAGACGAAUAUAUUAUAAUAUAAAAAUGAUAUAGGAGAAAAACUAAAAACACAUAUCUAUAUAUUAAUAAUAUAAUAUUAUAUAUUAUUAUUACUCAAUAUCAUGAAAAAUAAUAUGUUUAUUCUUAUAAAAAAAACCUAUCACAAUAUAAAUAUGUAUUAUAUCAACAAUAAAAACACUAAUCCUAUUAAAAUACUUCAUUUCAUAAAAUAAAAUAGAAAUAAUAAAACGAUCCAAUCUUCAAACCAAACUAUUUAUACUAACACAUCAAUGGCUUAAUUUAUGAUACGAGACUAUGACUACAGUACUGAUCAAAUAAAUAAGAUAA